rnacentral:rRNA from 1 species
UAGGGAAUCUUCCACAAUGGCGAAAGCCUGAUGGAGCAACGCCGCGUGUGUGAUGAAGGGUUUCGGCUCGUAAAACACUGUUGUAAGAGAAGAAUGACAUUGAGAGUAACUGUUCAAUGUGUGACGGUAUCUUACCAGAAAGGAACGGCUAAAUACGUGCCAG